GCGGCAUGCUUUACACAUGCAAGUCGAACGGCAGCACGGGGGCGACCCUGGUGGCGAGUGGCGAACGGGUGAGUAAUACAUCGGAACGUAUCCUUAAGUGGGGGAUAACGCAUCGAAAGAUGUGCUAAUACCGCAUGGGCUCUGAGGAGCAAAGCAGGGGCUCGCAAGACCUUGCGCUGAAGGGGCGGCCGAUGUCUGAUUAGCUAGUUGGUGGGGUAAAGGCUCACCAAGGCGACGAUCAGUAGUUGGUCUGAGAGGACGACCAACCACACUGGGACUGAGACACGGCCCAGACUCCUACGGGAGGCAGCAGUGGGGAAUAUUGGACAAUGGGCGCAAGCCUGAUCCAGCCAUGCCGC
rnacentral:rRNA from 1 species